GUGGGGAAUUUUGCGCAAUGGGCGCAAGCCUGACGCAGCGACGCCGCGUGCGGGAGGAAGGCCCUCGGGCCGUAAACCGCUUUCGGCAGGGAAGAAGUCUGACUGUACCUGCAGAAGAAGCCCCGGCUAACUACGUGCCAGCAGCCGCGGUAACACGUAGGGGGCGAGCGUUGUCCGGAUUCAUUGGGCGUAAAGGGCGCGCAGGCGGCCCGGCAAGCGGUGCCUCUAAGCCCGGGGCUCAACCCCGGGACGGGCGCCGAACUUCCGGGCUCGAGCGCGGUAGAGGAGGACGGAAUUCCCGGUGUAGCGGUGGAAUGCGCAGAUAUCGGGAGGAACACCGAUGGCGAAGGCAGUCCUCUGGGCCGUCGCUGACGCUGAGGCGCGAAAGCCGGGGGAGCGAACAGGAUUAGAAACCCGGGUAGUCC
rnacentral:rRNA from 1 species